rnacentral:rRNA from 1 species
AAAAAGCUCGUAGUCGAAUUUGUGUCUCGCGCCGUCCGGUUCAUCGUUCGCGGUGUCAACUGGCGUGUCGCGAGACGUAUUGCCGGCGGGUCGUUCGCAAGAGCGGCCCAAAUGACCCCGCCGCGGUGCUCUUCACUGAGUGUCGAGGUGGGCCGGCACGUUUACUUUGAACAAACUAAGGUGCUUAAAGCAGGCUGAAAUUUUGCCCGAAUAUUUUAUGCAUGGAAUAAUGAAACAGGACCUCGAUUCUAUUUUGUUGGUUUUCGGAACCUCGAGGUAAUGAUUAACAGGAACGGAUGGGGGCAUUCGUAUUGCGACGUUAGAGGUGAAAUUCUUGGAUCGUCGCAAGACGGACAGAAGCGAAAGCAUUUGCCAAAAACGUUUUCAUUGAUCAAGAACGAAAGUUAGAGGUUCGAAGGCGAUCAGAUACCGCCCUAGUUCUAACCAUAAACUAUGCCAGCUAGCGAUCCGCCGACGUUCCUCCGAUGACUCGGCGGGCAGCUUCCGGGAAACCAAAGCUUUUGGGUUCCGGGGGAAGUAUGGUUGCAAAGCUGAAACUUAAAGGAAUUGACGGAAGGGCACCACCAGGAGUGGAGCCUGCGGCUUAAUUUGACUCAACACGGGAAACCUCACCAGGCCCGGACACCGGAAGGAUUGACAGAUUGAGAGCUCUUUCUUGAUUCGGUGGGUGGUGGUGCAUGGCCGUUCUUAGUUGGUGGAGCGAUUUGUCUGGUUAAU